rnacentral:rRNA from 1 species
AGAGAGAGACAUGCGCGCAUAUCAAUAAGCGGAGGAAAAGAAACUAACUAGGAUUCCCUCAGUAACGGCGAGUGAAGCGGGAAGAGCUCAAAUUUGAAAUCUUCAAGGUUCUACCUUGACGAAUUGUAGUUUAAAGAAGUGUUUUCUGUUGGAGUUUUGGUAAAAGUUCUUUGGAAUAGGACAUCAUAGAGGGUGAGAAUCCCGUAUUUGACCAUUAUUUCCAGCUUUGUGAUACACUUUCAAAGAGUCGGAUUGUUUGGGAAUGCAGUCCAAAAUGCGUGGUAAAUUUCAUCUAAAGCUAAAUAUUGGCGAGAGACCGAUAGCGAACAAGUACCGUGAGGGAAAGAUGAAAAGAACUUUGAAAAGAGAGUUAAACAGUACGUGAAAUUGUCAAAAGGGAAGCGUUUGACACCAGUGUUGUUUUCCUCGAAAAUCAAUUAAAAAAGGCAGGAUUUUGUGUUGUAUUGACUUUAUCAGCUUUCUGCACUCUUUUCUUGUCUUUUUUAAUGCACUUUUCGUUUAACAAGUCAACAUCAAUUUCUUUUGCUGUAAAAAAGCUUGAGGAAGGUGGCUUGAGAUUCGUCUUAAGUGUUUAUAGCCUCUUGCCUAUGCAGUCGGAGAGAUUGAGGUCUGCAGCGUAGAUCCUUCGGGGCUAAAUGCAUUUGUGCUAAGUUAUAGCAUUUUAUAGACUACUUGUUGACUAUGAUUAGUCAUGUAGCUUACUCGCUUAUGCUAUUUUACCUACGCUUAGGAUGUUGAUGUGAUACUGCGAGA